rnacentral:lncRNA from 1 species
CCUAAUCUAAAAAUGAAUUUCCUACUGAAAGAAUUGAUCCUUAAUAACAUUGUUGAUAAUAAAAUCUCUUUAAUUCUUUUGGAUGUGAACUCCUUACCCCCUUGAGAUUGGGUCUUCGUGCUUGUUGCUGAGAUGGUGCUGAGAGAAGUGAAAAUUUGCAAAGUUCUUAAUUUAUAUGUGUGAGAUAAUUCUUUAUUCAAUAGAGAAAUAAUGGAGAAGAAAAAAUCAAACCUGGGAAUGAGAAGUCAGAGAUGGCAAAACGAGACUAUGGAAGAAAAAAGAAGAAACAAGAGAAUCAGUCUUGACCAAAAAACAACCCUAAAGAACAACAUAAGAAAAAGGAAGAAAAUGAUCAAAUCAAAGCAACAUUCACACACAUAAAAAUAAAAUAAACCAAAUCAUCCAUAUAAACAUGAAUUUGAAUAUACAACUUAAGAUUACCAUUUCAGCAAGUAGAAAAGUAGACAAGGAUCAUACACGAAAUUGACCAAUCAAGGUAGUGAGCCAUAAGGUCUUCUUCUCGUGCAUGAGGUAAGACAUUUGUUGUCGUAUUUGGUAAUGUAUUAUUUAUAAUCAACUCAAUUAGCGUUGUCUCAAUACAUGGAUCAAUCAUCAAAGUAAAUAGAAAUGUCUAGCCAACAUCUCCAAGUAUGGUAGGGUCAAUAAACACUAAAAUAUAUUAAAUUUCUCACAUUAAAGCCAACAAUGCAUACAUACAAAUUUCAUUUUCUAGCUUCUCAACAUUUGUUACUCUUUCGUUUGUGUUCAGAUGACCUAUGAUUUCGGAUUCUGGCUUCAAAACCAAACACAAAGUUUACGAUGAAUACCUUUUAAGUUUUAACAAUAGCUCUGGUUGGUUUAGACCAUCUGGUAAUCUAUCUUUUCUUCCUCCAAAUUCCACUCCAACCUGUGAAAAAAUGGAGCUAGUAACAAAAUUAGAACAAGACAAUAACUCAUGAAAUCUGUUGAACAAUAACAACAUAAUCAGACACUAAACAAAUAACCUUGAAAGCUGCAACACCACAUAGCAACUUUGGUAACCAUUAUCUUUUUUCUCAGUAUAUGUUCUUAUUUGUACAAAAAACAUAAUCAGACACUAAAUAAAUCAAUUCACUAGAACACCAUAAUUUAAUAACAAAAAUAUCAUACCAGUUAACUAGUAGUAUAAGUAUUAAGUAAACAACCUCUUCUUACUAAAUCAAGCAUCAAUAUCGGCGAAAACCUAGUUCUCCAGUUCACUACCAUGGCUCUACUUAUUAUACUUAUUUUAGAACAAACGGGAGUUGGAAUCAGGUCAACGAAAGAGAAAUAUAAGACAACAGAAAGACUUAACAUAUGAGCAUAUAUUACCAACAAGUACAAUAUAUCAGGAAUAUAUUGACGUAACCACAUGCAUAUAUAAUUCAUAGAACAACAAUGAAAAUUCGGCUAACUUAAUUACCAAUGUUUUUAACAUUCACAUAAACCGAAAAAAAUGAAAUCCACUACUACUAACAUAAACUUUUUACUUACAGAAUCAACCAGACAAAACCAAGAGAAGUCCGUACAUCAACAAAAUUGACAAAAUAGAAAUACAAGAGAUUUGCAACAAGUACAUAAAAAAUUAACAUAUAUGUAAUGACAGGAGAGUUUCUCAUUACAAUCAGAAACGCAUUUCCUAUUACCCAAUAUUGAGUCGAUCUUCGGCUAAACUUGUCACAUAUAGAAAUUCAAAAACAAAAAAAUCUAGAAACCUAAUUGCAAAUAUGAACAAGACCAAUUUAAUUUAAUUUAAUUACUAGAAACCUAAUUGAAGGCAUGUAACUCCUUAAUUAAAAGAGGAAAUAUAAUUUAUAAUCUUUCAACAUAACCCUAAUGCGAUUGAAAUAGGAGCGAGAAGAUAAGAGAGAGAAUGAAAGCGAGAGUUAGAGAAAGGAGAAAACUACCGAAAUUAUCUGGAGCGC